rnacentral:lncRNA from 10 species
GAAGUUUACCCUGAUAACCCCAAGAGGAAAACAACAUCUCCCUCCUCCAAACAUUUCCUACCCUUUGCAUCCUCUCAUGAAAACUAUCUCCUGGUGGAGUCAAAGAGCCAGCACUCGCCUUCACACCGAAGGACCACAGCAGAGGCACCCCGGGUUGGAGAUGGGUAUGCUGCACCCGUCCCCAGGAAUGUCACAUCCAUAGACAUCUUCCACCCUGCAACAGAAAGAUCAUCUGGGGAUUAUUUCAUAUCACUGUACCAAAAACAUAUUCCUGUAAUAUUUAUCUCUAUUAUUACUUUUUGGUUAUUUAGAACAGUCUGGAUUCUUGGUCUCUCAUAGUAUUCCACACAUAUCCACAGUAAGGUUUUAAUAACUUGGCUAAAACUACAAGUUAACAAAUCUUGUAUAAUUGUUCACACACCCAAACAAACAAAAAUAACCAAACCCAGGCAAUUAAAAACUAUAGCUGAAUUCUAACUAUAUGAUGUUCUCAAAAAGGCAAAACUAUGGAGACAGUAAAAAUCGUGCUUGCUAGUGAUACAGGGUGAGAGAAGGAAGAAUGAACAGGCAGAGCACAGGGGAUGUUUAAGGCAGUGAAACGAUUCUGUAUGAUACAGUAAGACAGACAUAUGUCAUUAUACAUUGGUCAACUGUACACAGAAUAAACACCACUAGAGUGAAUGAGCUCUAAUGUAAACUUUAGUUGACAGUGUAUCUGUAUCAAUAUUGGCUCAACAACUGUAACACAUGUAGCACAUUUUUCAUUUUUUUUUCAUGAGCCCUUAAGCUUCUGAACAUAUACCGCAUUAAUGCAAGAUGUUAAUAAGGGGAAACUGAGGGGUGAGGGAUAAGAGAGUAUAUGGGAACACUCUGUACUUUCUACUUACUAAUUUUUUUAAAAAAAAUCCUUCUAAUAAACACUAAACAACAACAACUCUAGUUGAGAUACAGGGCAAGAGAUGGUAUUUAAUGAUACUCACCAUAUGGUGUCUCUGAUGCCCAUAAUGAUCAGCCCUUUCCCUUUCUCUGAACAAUCAUAACAGUAAUGCUCUAUUAUGCUCUAUAGUCAUGCUGAUAUUUCACAAUAAUGCUGAACAAAUGUCUCACUCCCUACAUGACAUGGUCCAUGACUCACGAGGACUUGGGACUCUGCUAUUUUAAGUGAUCAGCAACAACCUGUUGAAUGUGCAGGUUUAUUCCAACUCCUGGCACUAUUCCUUUCACUAUUUCUAGGUACAUCUGACAUCACUGAUAUACUUCUGAGAUGGAAUAUAUGUAUCAAACAGAAUAUAUUAGAAUGAACUGAAAUUUAUACAUAACUGAUUAUAGAUUAUCCACAUUGAUGGCAGGGAAGAAAACAAAGAAGCUUAAGAAAAACUACUGUAAGAGAAUUUGACUGACAGCUAGAUAUAAAAUAUACAAAAACUUCAGUAACUCUUCUCAGUCUUAGCAAUAACAAGAUAAAAACAGAAAUGGGGGAAAAACCCAUUCUAAGAGCAAAAACAAAAUUACCAGAAAUAAAGUUAGCAGGAAAGGAACAGCACCCAAAAGAUUCACACGAAUAAAAGAUACACAUUAUGUCCCUGAUAGGAUGACUUGAUAUCACAGAGAUGUUCAUCCUUCCUAAGCUAAUGUAGAUGUAUUUGGUGGAAAUUCUAUCAGACUUCCAGUGGGAUUUAUUUUGGAACAGAAACAAUCCAAAAAUCAUAUGGAAGGAAAAAUAAAUGUCUGAGAAGGGAUGAGAAAAUUCCAAAAAGCAGUGAGUGGUGACCUGCUUUUCUAGGUAUUAACAUUUACUACAGCAAUCUGACAUAAUUAAAACAGAAUAGGCCGGGCACGGUGGCUCAUGCCUGUUAUCCCAGCACUUUGGGAGGCUGAGGAGGGUGGAUCACCUAAGGUCAGGAGUUUGAGAGCAGCCUGGCCAAGAUGGUGAAACCCUGUCUCUACUAAAAAUACAAAAAUUAGUCGUGCAUGCUGGCGCACACCUGUAGUCCCAGCUACUUCAGGAGGCUGAGGCAGCAGAAUUGCUUGAACCUGGGAGGCGGCAGUCAUAGUGAGCCAAGAUUGCACAAUUGCACUCCAGCCUGGGUGACACAGUAAGACUCUGUCUCAACAAAUACAUACAUACAUACAUACAUACAAACAAUAAUAUUGGCACAAAAAUAGAGGUAAAAGGGAAGGGAAAGUUCAGAAAUAAACCAGCUACCUAUCGGAAUCAAUACAGUAUAUAACAAAGGUGUAAAAAGUGUGGUUUCUUUAAUGAAUGGCACUGACAUAAUUGGCUAUUCUAGCAGAGAAAAAAGCAAAGAAAGAUGCUCACUUUGCAUUGUAUAUAAAAAUACACUUCACGUAGUUAAGAAAUUUAAAUGUAAAAAAUCCAAUAACGUGUUCAAAAAAAUUAGGAGAAUGUUUAUACAUUUAACUGUGGAGAUGGGAAGCCCUUAUUGGCAAGACAUAAAAUCCAGAAACUUUAAAAACAGACAUUUUCACUAAAUAAAAU